rnacentral:sRNA from 1 species
AGAAAGAAAUUUUUGAGAGCUUUCUCUGAAACUGUGUGCAACUUAAUUUUGCAGGUUUUGUGCUUGUGUGAUCAAGUGGUUUUAUUAUUGAAGCCUAGACUCAAAGGAAAUUUAGCUCAGGGUUAGGUUAUCCUGAUUAAAUCUAGACUCAGAAGAAAUUUAGUUAAAGAUAGAGAUUAUCUUUAAGGUUUCCUGUUAAUAGAAGGGAGCGGUAAAUCAAGAGAGAUGUACUUGUUUUACGCGUUUUACAAAUUGGUUGUAAUUUGGUUUCUUAUUCUACUGAAAUCAAAUCUGGACUUUCUGAACCACGUUAACAAAAAAUUUGUCUCAUUUAUUUUGUGCAAUUUAUAUUACCUCAUCUGCACUUACAUAAUUCAU